GAGGUGAGGUUUCUCUUUCUACAGCCAUAGAAGCAAGAGGCCAAAGAGGGUGAGUGACAAACCCAAAGUUACAUGACAUGUUGGGGGUCAAGCUGAGAUGAGAAGAGUGGAUGUGACCCCAUCUCCAGGACCAUCAGGCCAAGAGUGUUUCAGUGACAGCACUUGGUCGGGGUGUGGUGGGGGGAGCUGGGGGUUCUCCGACUCCCUAGAUGGGCAAAAGCAGAGCUUUCCGGGUACCUCUUCCCAGAUCCUUACCCAUAACUGCCCCCCCCAACCUGCAACAGCCCCUGUCCCCCAGGGAUGAAGAGAGAACCUGCACAUUUGAAGUCAGUAAGAGGGAAGGGCCGAGGCAGUGGCUAGAGCUCCGGUCCUCACAGCAAGCAGGUUUCUCAGGGUGGGCUAUGAGAGGUGGAGGUCCAGGUGAGCUCAGGCAUACCAAUGUGCCCUCCUGGCUUUACCUGGGCUUCAGCAGUGGCUGCCUUCCUACAAAUUGUCCUCCUGGUCCCUGGCCCCCUGCCCCUCUCACUGCUGUCCUUACAGGCCCUUCCUACCUCCCCCUGCAGCAGCCCUGCCACAAAGAACCUGACCUCCCGGACUGGCCAGCCACAGCCUGGUGACACAACUUCUCUAUGCUAGGGUUUCCAUUCCUACCUCCUCACCCCCUUCCCCGUGACAAGAGGCCUCCCCAGAUGUGUCUCCACAGCACAGGGACAUGAAGCGUCUUCCCAGCUGCAGGGACUGCUUACCGAUGGAAAGAUCCUUAAAGGUUGGACUCGAUCGGGAUGCCUGGGUGGCUCAGUCGGUUAAGCAUCCAACUUCAGCUCAGGUCACGAUCUCACAGUCGCAAUUUAUUUGUUGAAGAAACAAGGUCAUUUGUCUUGUAGUUUCCCACAGCCUGGAAUUUGGUUGCAUCUCUAUAUGUAGAAGCUUGAUGUGAUUCAGGUUCAACAUCUGGGAAGAUUAUUCCCCGGGUGUGUUCUUCUAUCAAGAGAGAUACAU